rnacentral:rRNA from 1 species
UGGGGAAUAUUGCACAAUGGACGGAAGUUUGAUGCAGCGACGCCGCGUGGAGGGUGUAGGCCUUCGGGUUGUGAACUCCUUUUUCUCGCGAAAAAGGCACAGUUUUGGCUGUGUUGAUGGUAGUGGGGGAAGAAGCGCCGGCUAACUACGUGCCAGCAGCCGCGGUAAUACGUAGGGCGCGAGCGUUGUCCGGAUUUAUUGGGCGUAAAGAGCUCGUAGGUGGUUCGUCGCGUCUGUCGUGAAAGCCAGCAGCUUAACUGUUGGUCUGCGGUGGGUACGGGCGGGCUUGAGUGCGGUAGGGGUGACUGGAAUUCCUGGUGUAGCGGGGGAAUGCGCAGAUAUCAGGAGGAACACCGAUGGCGAAGGCAGGUCACUGGGCCGUUACUGACACUGAGGAGCGAAAGCGUGGGGAGCGAACAGG